CGUGACGGCGCGAGCAGGUGCGAAAGCAGGUCAUAGUGAUCCGGUGGUUCUGAAUGGAAGGGCCAUCGCUCAACGGAUAAAAGGUACUCCGGGGAUAACAGGCUGAUACCGCCCAAGAGUUCAUAUCGACGGCGGUGUUUGGCACCUCGAUGUCGGCUCAUCACAUCCUGGGGCUGAAGUAGGUCCCAAGGGUAUGGCUGUUCGCCAUUUAAAGUGGUACGCGAGCUGGGUUUAGAACGUCGUGAGACAGUUCGGUCCCUAUCUGCCGUGGGCGCUGGAGAACUGAGGGGGGCUGCUCCUAGUACGAGAGGACCGGAGUGGACGCAUCACUGGUGUUCGGGUUGUCAUGCCAAUGGCACUGCCCGGUAGCUAAAUGCGGAAGAGAUAAGUGCUGAAAGCAUCUAAGCACGAAACUUGCCCCGAGAUGAGUUCUCCCUGAGACUU
rnacentral:rRNA from 1 species